rnacentral:rRNA from 1 species
UACGGGGGGGGCAAGCGUUGUUCGGAAUUACUGGGCGUAAAGGGCUCGUAGGCGGCCAACUAAGUCAUACGUGAAAUCCCUCGGCUUAACCGGGGAACUGCGUCUGAUACUGGAUGGCUUGAGUUCGGGAGAGGGAUGCGGAAUUCCAGGUGUAGCGGUGAAAUGCGUAGAUAUCUGGAGGAACACCGGUGGCGAAGGCGGCAUCCUGGACCGGUAUUGACGCUGAGGCGCGAAAGCUAGGGUAGCAAACGGG